AACGGGAUUGCCUUAGUAACGGCGAGUGAAGCGGCAAAAGCUCAAAUUUGAAAUCUGGUACCUUCGGUGCCCGAGUUGUAAUUUGGAGAGGGCAACUUUGGGGCCGUUCCUUGUCUAUGUUCCUUGGAACAGGACGUCAUAGAGGGUGAGAAUCCCGUGUGGCGAGGAGUGCGGUUCUUUGUAAAGUGCCUUCGAAGAGUCGAGUUGUUUGGGAAUGCAGCUCUAAGUGGGUGGUAAAUUCCAUCUAAAGCUAAAUAUUGGCGAGAGACCGAUAGCGAACAAGUACAGUGAUGGAAAGAUGAAAAGAACUUUGAAAAGAGAGUGAAAAAGUACGUGAAAUUGUUGAAAGGGAAGGGCAUUUGAUCAGACAUGGUGUUUUGUGCCCUCUGCUCCUUGUGGGUAGGGGAAUCUCGCAUUUCACUGGGCCAGCAUCAGUUUUGGUGGCAGGAUAAAUCCAUAGGAAUGUAGCUUGCCUCGGUAAGUAUUAUAGCCUGUGGGAAUACUGCCAGCUGGGACUGAGGACUGCGACGUAAGUCAAGGAUGCUGGCAUAAUGGUUAUAUGCCGCCCGUCUUGAAACACGGACCAAA
rnacentral:rRNA from 1 species